UGUAUAUGUGUGUGUGUGUGUGUGUGUGUGUGUGUGUGUGUGUGUGUGUGUGUACAUACACACACACACACACACAUAUAUAUAUA